rnacentral:rRNA from 1 species
GGCGGCAUGCCUAACACAUGCAAGUCGAACGUGAUCCAGGCUUCGGCCUGGUGAAAGUGGCAGACGGGUGAGUAACGCGUGGGAACCUGCCCUGUGGUAGGGAAUAACCGUGGGAAACUGCGGCUAAUACCCUAUGAGUCCUUCGGGAGAAAGAUUUAUCGCCAUAGGAGGGGCCCGCGUCGGAUUAGGUAGUUGGUGGGGUAACGGCCUACCAAGCCUUCGAUCCGUAGCUGGUCUGAGAGGAUGAUCAGCCACACUGGGACCGAGAUACGGCCCAGACUCCUACGGGAGGCAGCAGUGGGGAAUAUUGGACAAUGGGGGCAACCCUGAUCCAGCAAUGCCGCGUGGAUGAUGAAGGCCUUCGGGUUGUAAAGUCCUUUCGGCGGGGAAGAUGAUGACGGUACCCGCAGAAGAAGCCCCGGCUAACUUCGUGCCAGCAGCCGCGGUAAUACNAAAGGGGCUAGCGUUGUUCCGAAUUACUGGGCGU